UGCAUGCAUGCAUCCAUCCAUCAUCCAUCAUUCAUGUUGUGUGCAAAGUACUUUUGCUUUACAACUGAACAUAGAGCAGUUUUUAUGUUUACUAUGAUUCUAGAGGUAGAUGCCACAGAAACCCUUACACGAAUAUUUCGCUUUCUUUUCAGAGACAUUUAUUAUUUCAGAUAUCCUAAUUACGUUUGCAUUUCUGGAAGCAGGAUCACUUUUAGUGAAGAGGGAGGGGUUAAAAGGAGUGAUGAAAUGGUUACAUAGAGAAGCAAGUGUGUAUUAUCCUAACUUACCGCUGUAGGCUGAUCUCUGUCAGAGAAGUUGCCUGACUUUGAUAGUCAGGUCCAUCAAUGCCCGCUGUUAUUUUGCUUGCUGUGGCAAGCUGAUGGAACUUGAGAUCAAGAGCAGAGUGUAAGGUCAGACUGUCACAGUUUGUUUACCCUGACACUUAGUGUGUGCCCAUUUGAAUCAGUUGUAAUCCUGUCAAGUCUUAGGUAUUUCCUCUGCAAAUGAGAUAAGAGCCACAGUUAACUUGCUCACAUAGCAGGUGAAAUGUCCAACACCAAGUUUGGUGUGUGGUCUUAAACGUGCAGUACCUGUUAGCAAUGGGACAGUGAGUUAUUAUGAAACCUGAUGGAGCUCAUCUUCCUCAGAGUUCUAUUGGACAUCAAGUACAAUAGCAGGUUUUGUUGAUCUCCCCAAAGUAUUUUGUGAAACAUCUCGGAAGCUGUUGAACGUGGAAGCCUUUGCUUGGGCCGUCAAACACUACUCUGUGCAAAGCUUGGGGCUGUGCACUCCUUUUGAGCAGCUGCUUACAGCCCUUCGAGUAAAUAAAGAACAGAGAACUGGUGAAAAUGUGAAGGCAAUUCAGUUUAUGAACACAAAAAAAUCUCAUGAGGUUCAGGCAAUGGCAGAGCUGAUCUGCAGUAUUGCUGAUUACUGUGCUUUAAAGCAGAUAAUUGAUGUGGGUUCUGGUAAAGGCUACCUAAGCUCCUUUUUGUCCUUAAAGUAUGGUUUAAAUGUCUAUGGCAUUGAUUCCUCAAAUACUAAUACUCACGGAGCUAAGGAGAGAAACAGGAAGUUGAAGAAACAUUGGCACCUGUAUCAUGGUCAGACGAGAGAAGAUGCCAACGGACUGGCAUUGAAACCGCAGAAAGGAAUAAAAGCGGAAAAGGAAGCAAAGCAUAAGGAAAACUGUGAGAGGGCACUGAAGAACAGCCUUGGGAAUCAAGACAUGUCUGCUGGUGCUGCGCCAGAGUGCUCAGAGUCGGCAGUUUCAGUCAUUAGAAAACAGCAAGGAAAUCUACAUGCUCAGCCACUUGAAGAAAGGAAUUUGUGUUUUGAAAAUGCCUUUUCUCUCAUGGACUUUCUGCCUAUUGACGCCGUUGAACCUACUUCAUCACAGGUGCACAAUGCAGAAAUGUCUGAAGUGAGGAAACAGGAAAGAAAUAUGAUAUCUAAACCAAGCGGCCCAAGUAUUUAUUCACCACUGACCUCUUUUAUCACUGCUGAUUCAGAGUUACAUGACAUUAUUAAAGAUCUGGAGGACUGUCUAAUGGUGGGUCUGCAUACUUGUGGUGAUCUUGCACCAAAUACUCUGCGGAUAUUUGCAUCCAAGUCUGAAGUCAAAGGAGUUUGCAGUGUGGGCUGUUGCUACCAUCUUUUAUCUGAAGAAUUUGAAAACCAAGAUAAAGAAUAUGCUCAAGAAAACUGGGGAUUUCCAAUGUGCCGCUAUCUGAAAGAGGAGAGAUGGUGCUUUGGCCGCAAUGCAAGAAUGUCAGCAUGCUUGGCAUUGGAACGGGUUGCAGUUGGCCAAGGGCUGCCUACCGAAUCACUCUUCUAUCGCGCUGUUCUUCAGAAUAUUAUUAAAGACUAUUAUGGCAUCACCAAAUGUGAUCGACACGUUGGCAAAAUUUAUUCCAAAUGCUCUUCCUUUCUGGAUUAUGUCAGGAUGUCGAUAAAGAAGCUUGGCUUAGACGAAUCCAAGAUCUCAGAAGAAAUUAUAAUGGACUACUAUGAGAAAUAUAGGCCUAGAAUGAAUGAGCUGGAGGCAUUUAAUAUGUUGAAAGUUGUUCUGGCUCCUUGCAUAGAAACACUGAUUCUUCUUGAUCGACUUUGUUACCUGAAGGAACAGGAAGAUGUAGCAUGGUCUGCUCUUGUGAAGUUGUUCGACCCUGUGCAGUCCCCCAGAUGCUACGCUGUCAUUGCUCUGAAGAAGCAGCGGGGAUGGGACUUGGUAAGGCAUGUCUGCCACAGCAACAUGUGGAGGUCACAGGACAACUUGUGAAAAUCAGUUCUGCCCUCUCCCAUGUGAAUUCCAAGAAUCAAACUCAAGCCACUAGUCGACAGCACAUUGAAGAGACCCAUACCAGCAUCCAGCAUCGUAAUGGACUGUCCAGCUUCCACAACUGUAGAAGAAUGAAUUUGUAUUGUCUAUGAGUAACCCAGUCUCAGACAAAAGAUAUUCUCAGCCUUAAUCAGAGAAGCUUCUUGCAACACCCCUGAAGGAUCAAUAAACAUGGUAGAAAAGGGAGAAGAAAGAAUGUAAGACCCAGGAGAUAGGAGAAGGACUGGCCAUCAUGAAGUCAUCCAGCUGUUCCUACUGAUACUGGUACAAAUUGAGUCCUCCUAACAGUAGCUGUGGAUGGUGAAGGGACUCACAAGGCCCUGCCACUUGCAGCUGUGGAUCUGUUGUCAACAAUUCUCUGUAAAAGGGAAGAGCUUAGAUAGGCGUGAAAAAGAGAAUUCUGGGAGGAAGAACUCAGGGUGGCAGUCGCCAUGAAGCUCUUGCCUGAGACAGAUGCUGGUUAGCAUCUUUCCCGCAGGAGUGACUGCUCCUCCUCUUCUGUCCUCCCUCUCACUUCACUGCACAUCCUCUUGGUGAUCAAACUUAGAGACUCAGAUUAGGCUUUGAACCUUCUCCAGUUCCCGAUAGCAUCCUCUCCAGAAGAGGACUCCAUGACUUUGAAUCUUCCUACCACCGUGUACAAGCCCAAUCCUGUGAGAAGUUCCCAGGAAUUCCCCUUCAUAUCUUUUACUUUCUCUUGAGUAUAUUUUUUUCAGCCUCCGGAAGGUAAGUAAAUCUACUAUAAACUACUACUGUGCUCUGUUGCUCUUAGUUUGAUGCACUGCAUAUGUGUCUAGCUUAUUCAUGUAAAUAGUCCUAAAGCUCUCCUCCACAUAGUAAUUUGGGUAUGCUGACUUGAGCAAACUGUUUAGGUAUUCAGAUUUACUAGUCAUUAAGGAUCGUAGCACACGAAUGAUGAUUGCUUACCAAUUUAAAAAAUAUUAAUAUGGAAAUCGAAAUUGAAGCUAGUGGAAGACGAGCAUGCAUCAUAAAAGGUAUGAAAAUGGAGAAUGAGAGAGUGAGUUCUGAUGGCUGAAGAACCCAAGCAGGAAGAACUGAUGGAGAAGGACAAUAACAAGAAGGCUGAGAAACACACAGAUGUGAAGCAGGAAGACUUCCCCAAGUCCUCCAGAGUGACCAACUGGUGGAAGAUGAGAGACCAAAACCAACCGGAAAAUCUCCUUCGGAAUUCAUCACUGAUCCUUCUCAUAUUUUUAGAAGUAGAAGCCACAUUAAGUAGAUGAGGAGUUAAGUAGGAAAUCAGCUGCUUCAAAAAGAGAUAGAAUCAUCUAGAAGAGACAGCGUGAGGGUUCUAAUGAUUACAAGUGAGAGUUUCAAGAAGAAUGAAACUGAUAUAUCUUGAAUUUUAAUGUUGUCUCUUAUUAGAUGUGUAAUAUUAGUCAGACUUCCUAACUUCUUUAUACCUAUUUCAUUCCUAUUAACUAGGCAGAAACAGAGCUAGGAAAGGGAGAAAUCUGUUAUUAAGAAUUCUUUGCAGCCGGGCAGUGGUGGUGCAUGCCUUUAACCCCAGUACUCAGGAGGCAGAGGCAGAUGGAUCCUUGUGAGUUCUAAGUCAGCCUGGUCUACAAGAGCUAGUUCCAGGACAGGCUCUAAGGCUACAGAGAAACCCUGUCUUGAAAAACCAAAGGGAGAAAAAGAGAGAAUUCUUGCAUAUAGAAAUCUCAAAAUAUUAAAUAGGUAAAUACUAUACACAACCAUCACAUAAACAUGAAACAGCAUGGCGGCAACACAGGUGUGGAAGUCUACUAAUCCAGUUGGUGUGAAGGUAACCAGAGACAUUAAUGAGUUUUGAGAAUAAGGAUCUUUAGUGUCCUUACUAAAGAGGUAUAUUUUUUUCUAACCCAUGAGGAUUCACUCAGGAAAUACUAAUAGUCCUAUAAUUGGCAUGUUUAAAAUGGAAUAUUCCUGUCAAUGCUACCUUCUCUCUCUUCCUUUCAAUGAAAGGUCAUUUCCACCCAAACCCAAAAAUCAUUCUAGAAUUCUUCCAUUAAACAUUAAAUCUGGUUCAUUCUGCUUGCUCCAUGUCUUUUGACUGCCACUCCUUUCGAAGCCCAUGCUAAGUGUCUACAUCCUGGGCAUCCCAACGACUCUUUUGUGUUCUUUGGCAUCUGGCUCCUAAUCUUACCUAUUGACUGACAUCCCAUGUCUUAGAAGGGGGCCCAAUAGUGCUUUUAAUAUUUUACCUUACGCAAUCAUUAGUUGAAUUAUGACAUUUUCAUUCUUAGAUAAUCAUUGUGCUGAUUAUCUAAGAUUCCACUGAUUCCAUUCCUCCCCUGUAAUAGGAAAGCUACCCCCAAUGUGCCUUUGCAUCAUGCAUGGUGGGUGUUUGCAUGUGUGUGUGUGUGUGUGUCUGUCUAGAUUACACAAGAGGAAACAUGAUAUAUUUUUCUAACCUCUCCCUUAACAUGUCUUUUUCCUCCCUCUUCCAUCCCUUCAGAGUCUUCAGGUCCCUUCGUUCCCCAACAAAGUUCUUCUUCUGUGUUCAUAUCAUGCAGACGGAUAGAUGGAUGGAUGAAGAGAUAGAUGAUAGACACAUGGCAGAUGUUUUAAAUCAAGAUUCCUCAUAUGACAAAAAUGUGCGAAAGUCUUCAGGGUGACAUUCAAAUCCCCAACAAGACUUCCCCUGGCUACUUCAUCAGCAUAAUCUUUUGCUGCACCCUAUCUGACGAGAUUUUUUCAAAUUACCCAGAAAAUUUUAAUCAUUGUUACCGCCAUCUGGAUUCUGUUCUCUGAAUCCUGUUCCAAAAAGGGCUAACGUCCCUUUCUCUUGCUGUCAACACUUUCCUACGCUGUCCUCAAUAUUUAUUAUCCUUCCUCCACAUUUGGAUCACUUUGUUUUUAUUAUGUCUCCACAAUACUCUGCGCGGUGCACUUUAGUGCACUUAAUUUGAAAACCUGUGUGUUGGACCUGGAAAGGCAUAAAAUACGCGAUGUUAUUUGUUUCGUCCUCUGCCUGGUAGUGAAGGCAUUCAGAAGAGCCUCAUGAGAAAGGAAAGACAUGAGGAUACUUGACCCUUUGUGGAAAUGAAAACGUAACCCAUUCCCCGAAAGAGCAGAAUGUCAGUGCCUGUGAGUUACAGUUCUAAGGUGAAGGGGAGCUAAGAGAUACUGACAACAAAUUCAGCAAAAGCAAAAUGCAGAACCUUCAUCUGGAGAUGGAUGGAGAUAGAGACAGAGACCCACACUGGAGCACCGGACUGAGCUCCCAAUGUCCCAAGGAGGAGCAGAAGGAGGGAAAAUAUGAGCAAAGAAGUCAGGACCACGAGGGGUGCACCCACCCACGGAGACAGUGGGGCUGAUCUAUUGUGAGCUCACCAAGGCCAGCUGGACUGCGACUGAAAAAGCAUGGGAUAAAACCGGACUCUCUGAAUAUGGCAGACAAUGAGGGCUGCUGAGAAGCCAAGGACAAUGCCACUGGGUUUUGAUCCUACUUCAUGUUCUGGCUUUGUGUGAGCCUAGCCAGUUUGGAUGUUCACCUUCCUAGACCUGGAUGGAGCGGGGAGGACUUUGGACUUUCCACAGGGCAGGGAACCCUGA